rnacentral:lncRNA from 1 species
ACUUGGCAUUAUGAUGUUUGUUUGUUUCUUUAGUAAAUGAAUGAGACUUCUAAUGCAGUCAACCCAUAAUCAACUAAUUAAUUUCAUGCUUGCUGGAUGUAGGUAUUACCUUUUGGUUUGCUGUUAAAUGGUAUAUCUGGAGUUUCUUCUGGAAACAUCUUUAUGUCUGUGCUUCCCUUGUCUAACGUUACCCACCUUUUUUUUUUUACAGUUACCCACCUUUUUUUUUUUACAGUUACCCACCUUUUUUUUUUUACAGUUACCCACCUAACUGUCAUAAAAACAUCAUUGUUUAAAAUUGUGUUAGCGCUAGGAUUUGCAUGAUGGUGAAUUUAGUCUUUAUUGCAUGUUUUUGGAAGUGGUCAACUCAGUAGUGAAUUCAAGUCUGCAGCUGCAGGACAUAGUUAUUUCUCCUUGGUUAGCACUCGAAGUUAUCCCUUGAGCUUAAUAUGGAAACAUUUUCAUGCUAUACUAAACCUAUGACAACAAUUGCCCGUGUUUUAACCUUGAAAUUUUUAACUAUUUCCUUCCAAAAGUUCAGCUAAAAGCACAUCUUGCUGAAUACAUGAACAGUUUCAUACUACUUUUCUGCAAAUAUAUAUCCUUUUGCAGUGUC